GGAUGAACGCUGGCUGUGUGCCUAAUACAUGCAUGUCGAGCGGAGUUCUUCGGAACUUAGCGGCGAAUGGGUGAGUAACACGUACUUAACAUGCCCUCUAGAUUGGAAUAACGAUUAGAAAUGAUCGCUAAUGCCGGAUACUUAUAUCUUUCGCAUGAAGGAUAUAUAAAAGGAGCGUUUGCUUCGCUAGAGGAUUGGGGUGCGUAACAUUAGCUAGUUGGUAGGGUAAUGGCCUACCAAGGCUAUGAUGUUUAGCGGGGUUGAGAGACUGAUCCGCCACACUGGGACUGAGAUACGGCCCAGACUCCUACGGGAGGCAGCAGUAGGGAAUUUUCCACAAUGGACGAAAGUCUGAUGGAGCGACACAGCGUGCAGGAUGACGGCCUUCGGGUUGUAAACUGCUGUUAUAAGGGAAGAAAAAAUAAAGUAGGAAAURACUUUAUCUUGACGGUACCUUGUCAGAAAGCAACGGCUAACUAUGUGCCAGCAGCCGCGGUAAUACAUAGGUUGCAAGCGUUAUCCGGAAUUAUUGGGCGUAAAGCGUCUGUAGGUUGUUUGUUAAGUCUGACGUGAAAACUUGGGGCUCAACCCCAAAUUGCGUUGGAUACUGGCAAACUAGAGUUAUGAAGAGGUUAGCGGAAUUCCUUGUGAAGCGGUGAAAUGCGUAGAUAUAAGGAAGAACACCAACUUGGCGAAGGCAGCUAACUGGGCAUACACUGACACUGAGAGACGAAAGCGUGGGGAGCAAACAGGAUUAGAUACCCUGGUAGUCCACGCUGUAAACGAUGAUGAUUAGCUGAUGGGGAACUCAUCGGCACAGCUAACGCAUUAAAUCAUCCGCCUGAGUAGUAUGCUCGCAAGAGUGAAACUUAAAGGAAUUGACGGGGAUCCGCACAAGCGGUGGAGCAUGUGGUUUAAUUUGAAGAUACGCGUAGAACCUUACCCACUCUUGACAUCUUCCGCAAAGCUAUAGAGAUAUAGUGGAGGCUAACGGAAUGACAGAUGGUGCAUGGUUGUCGUCAGCUCGUGUCGUGAGAUGUUCGGUUAAGUCCUGCAACGAGCGCAACCCUUGUCCUUAGUUAAAUGUUCUAAGGAGACUGCCCGAGUAAUUGGGAGGAAGGUGGGGACGACGUCAAAUCAUCAUGCCUCUUACGAGUGGGGCAACACACGUGCUACAAUGGACGGUACAAAGAGACGCAAUACGGCGACGUGGAGCAAAUCUCAAAAAACCGUUCUCAGUUCGGAUUGUAGUCUGCAACUCGACUACAUGAAGUCGGAAUCGCUAGUAAUCGUAGAUCAGCUACGCUACGGUGAAUACGUUCUCGGGUCUUGUACACACCGCCCGUCACACCAUGGGAGCUGGUAAUGCCCGAAGUCGGUUUUGUUAACUACGGAGACAACUGCCUAAGGCAGGACUGGUGACUGGGGUGAAGUCGUAACAAGGUAUCCCUACGAGAACGUGGGGAUGGAUUACCUCCUUUCU
rnacentral:rRNA from 2 species